rnacentral:lncRNA from 1 species
GCGGCAGGUUUACCGAACAGCGUGUGUUGAUUUUCUCCCGCGAACCGGCAGAUGACGAGAGGAGAACCGGAGACAGACAGACAGAAACAGUGGCGGAUGGAUCUCAGGUUCUCCAGGAUUGUGUCUCGGCGGGGACUCGCCGGACUGUCAUCGACGGGAAGCUGGACUUUGAGGAACUGCUUUCCUUCUCUUGGUGUGGCCUGAAUGAAGCCUCUGUGUGGAUCUGCAGAAACUCCACAAAUCACACAGGAGAUUUUCACCUCUUGCCACUCACUUAGCCAUCAUGUGCACCGCCGCGGUCUGUUUAUUUGCUGAAAGACACACCAGGAAGUGCAGCUUCAAACACGGCCUGCAGUUAUAAACCUCAUUCCUCUGAGCGGCCCACCUGCAUGCAGACACCUGGCCCAAACACAGGGAAAAUUCCAGAGCAGUGGACGCACAUCCCAUUUCCAGCUCUCCCAAACAAAGACUGUCUGGAGCGGCACAUUUCAGAAGAGAACAGCAGGCGAGAGAGCGGGAACUGUGCUUGU